CUGGCUAUGAAAGUGUUGGCACAUACCACCAACAGGCUGUAGGUAAAGAGUCAUAUUUGUGUCAACUCAAGAUGACAGCAUUCCAGCCUUAAUGUUUUGAGUACCUCUCUGGG
rnacentral:lncRNA from 1 species